ensembl:rRNA 5S_rRNA 5S ribosomal RNA
GCUUACGGCCAUACCUCUCUGGCUCCGCCUGAUCUCGUCUGAUCUCAGAAGCUAAGCAGAGUAGGGCCUGGUUAGUACUUGGAUGGAAGACCGCCUGGGAAUCAACGGGUGCCGUAAGCU